rnacentral:rRNA from 1 species
UACGAAGGGGGCUAGCGUUGCUCGGAAUCACUGGGCGUAAAGGGCGCGUAGGCGGCCAUUCAAGUCGGGGGUGAAAGCCUGUGGCUCAACCACAGAAUUGCCUUCGAUACUGUUUGGCUUGAGACCGGAAGAGGUAAGUGGAACUGCGAGUGUAGAGGUGAAAUUCGUAGAUAUUCGCAAGAACACCAGUGGCGAAGGCGGCUUACUGGUCCGGUUCUGACGCUGAGGCGCGAAAGCUAGGGGAGCAAACGGG